CAACAGGGUACUGACAGAUGUCUUUAUUCCUCUUAAAGAUAGAUGAAUUGAGGCUCUUCAGUGCCCAUGUUAUUGUCUUACUUAAUUCCCCUGUAUUCACCUUGAUUUUAUUACGCUUCAAGUCCUGUCAGUUGAACUUGGAUUUCAAUAUCCACCCUGAGGGGGUUUUUCCUUGACUGGCUGUGCAUGAAGCUAGGAGUAAUCUAGAGAGACGAUCUUGUCCUAAUUCCCCUGAAGAAGCCAAGAGGCGAAACUAGUAGGGUCGACCUGAUCGAAAAAAUUAUUUCUAGAUCUUGCUC